AGGAGAGGGAGGGCGGCCGACGGUAGGACUUUGUCCAGCUGAGGAAGUUCCCUCCUCCACAGGGCAGAUGAGCCGGGAAAUCCGGCCGGGCGAGAGCCCGGGCAAGGGCCCAGAAACGACACAGACUCGGCCAUAGGAUGAUCCGCUGACGGUGACAUUCCCGAGGAUUUGGUGAAACGGCGACUCCUCAUCGGAGCAAGCCCAUACAGCCGGGAUGAGUGCCCGAUGACCGGCGGGUAGGGUGCGUUAGUUGAAUGCCGCCUGAAACAGAAGGGGGGCUACUACCCUCACCU
rnacentral:RNase_P_RNA from 1 species